UGCUCCCACCCAGAGUCUCCGACUCCUCCAACUACCAGAGGUGCAGCCGCUCCUCCUCGGAGGGGGGUGGAGUGCUGCUCAGGCCCCCUUGCCCCCCCAACCUUGCAAGCCUGGAGUAAGUGUGUCCUUCCCUGCUCUCCUGGAAAAACGGUCCCAAUCUCGCCAUGCACAGUCAUAUCUGGGUUGUGUGUGUGUGUGAAUCCAGAAGAACUUUCCUCUCUUCCUUCUGCACUUGCAGUAGCUAACCUGGGUCGAAUCCUGCCUGUCGGAUUCGAUGCCUGCCACUCUACAUAUGAGGUGAAGGCCCGAGAGCACAGCGAACAGAGCACAGCCAGCAAGGAUAGCAAACAGGAUGUAGGAGUUUUGCAGGAGAAGAGAACAGGAGUAGCCAUGUUAGCCUCCAGCAAAAACAACACUUCAUGCAUCUGUUGAAGAACACUGCAGUCCAUGGAAGCGUAUGCAGAAAGCUUCAUGUCGUUCCUGGAUGGAAUCCUGUGCCAGAAAACAAAAGUCUGACAUAAUUAGGGACUGAGAUUUCUUCUUUCUUAAAACUCCACAUCUGCUCUACAUUUUUAGAUGGAAUAGUCAAAGAACAUUUUGUACUAUUGCCUUAGAUGAAAUAGGUAAAUAUGCACAACAUUUGCAUCCAAAUUCCAAUUUCCUUAUUCAGGCUUUAUCUAAACUUUACCCAGGUAAAAUUCUGAUUGCAUUGUUGUUGUUGUUGUUUUAAGACAGGUAAUGCAUAAAAGAAAAAGGAUGAU